UACGGAGGGGGCGAGCGUUGUUCGGAUUUACUGGGCGUAAAGCGUGCGUAGGUGGCUUCCCAAGUAAGAAGUGAAAGCCCAGGGCUUAACCCUGGAAUUGCUUUUUAAACUGGGUCGCUAGAAUUUAGGAGAGGCAGAUGGAAUUCCGAGUGUAGAGGUGAAAUUCGUAGAUAUUCGGAGGAACACCAAUGGCGAAAGCAGUCUGCUGGACUAACAUUGACACUGAGGCACGAAAGCGUGGGGAGCAAACAGG
rnacentral:rRNA from 2 species